GCUGCUUACCAUGCAAGUCGCACGGAACCUUUCGGGGUGAGUGGCGGACGGGUGAGUAUCGCGUAGGGAUCUAUCCAUGGGUGGGGGAUAACAUCGGGAAACUGGUGCUAAUACCGCAUGAUACCUGAGGGUCAAAGGCGCAAGUCGCCUGUGGAGGAGCCUGCGUUCGAUUAGCUUGUUGGUGGGGUAAAGGCCUACCAAGGCGAUGAUCGAUAGCUGGUCUGAGAGGAUGAUCAGCCACACUGGGACUGAGACACGGCCCAGACUCCUACGGGAGGCAGCAGUGGGGAAUAUUGGACAAUGGGCGAAAGCCUGAUCCAGCAAUGCCGCGUGUGUGAAGAAGGUCUUCGGAUUGUAAAGCACUUUCGACGGGGACGAUGAUGACGGUACCCGUAGAAGAAGCCCCGGCUAACUUCGUGCCAGCAGCCGCGGUAAUACGAAGGGGGCUAGCGUUGCUCGGAAUGACUGGGCGUAAAGGGCGCGUAGGCGGUUUACACAGUCAGAUGUGAAAUUCCAGGGCUUAACCUUGGGGCUGCAUUUGAUACGUGUAGACUAAAGUGUGAGAGAGGGUUGUGGAAUUCCCAGUGUAGAGGUGAAAUUCGUAGAUAUUGGGGAAGAACACCGGUGG
rnacentral:rRNA from 1 species